AUUGAACGCUGGCGGCAUGCUUUACACAUGCAAGUCGAACGGUAACAGGCCGCAAGGUGCUGACGAGUGGCGAACGGGUGAGUAAUGCAUCGGAACGUGCCCAGUCGUGGGGGAUAACGCAGCGAAAGCUGUGCUAAUACCGCAUACGAUCUAUGGAUGAAAGCGGGGGACCGUAAGGCCUCGCGCGAUUGGAGCGGCCGAUGUCAGAUUAGGUAGUUGGUGGGGUAAAGGCCUACCAAGCCGACGAUCUGUGGCUGGUCUGAGAGGACGACCAGCCACACUGGGACUGAGACACGGCCCAGACUCCUACGGGAGGCAGCAGUGGGGAAUUUUGGACAAUGGGCGCAAGCCUGAUCCAGCAAUGCCGCGUGCAGGAAGAAGGCCUUCGGGUUGUAAACUGCUUUUGUACGGAACGAAACGGUCUGGGUUAAUACCCUGGGCUAAUGACGGUACCGUAAGAAUAAGCACCGGCUAACUACGUGCCAGCAGCCGCAGUAAGAC
rnacentral:rRNA from 1 species